rnacentral:rRNA from 1 species
CCUACGGGAGGCAGCAGUGGGGAAUAUUGCACAAUGGGGGAAACCCUGAUGCAGCGACGCCGCGUGGAGGAAGAAGGUCUUCGGAUUGUAAACUCCUGUUGUUGAGGAAGAUAAUGACGGUACUCAACAAGGAAGUGACGGCUAACUACGUGCCAGCAGCCGCGGUAAUACGUAGGUGGCAAGCGUUGUCCGGAUUUACUGGGUGUAAAGGGCGUGCAGCCGGGUCUGCAAGUCAGAUGUGAAAUCCAUGGGCUCAACCCAUGAACUGCAUUUGAAACUGUAGAUCUUGAGUGUCGGAGGGGCAAUCGGAAUUCCUAGUGUAGCGGUGAAAUGCGUAGAUAUUAGGAGGAACACCAGUGGCGAAGGCGGAUUGCUGGACGAUAACUGACGGUGAGGCGCGAAAGUGUGGGGAGCAAACAGGAUU